rnacentral:rRNA from 1 species
ACUGCUAAUACCGAAUAAGUUCCAAGAGCCGCAUGGCCCAUGGAGAAAAGGUGGCCUCUACCUGUAAGCUAUCGCCUGAAGAGGGGUUUGCGUCUGAUUAGCUGGUUGGAGGGGUAACGGCCCACCAAGGCGACGAUCAGUAGCCGGUCUGAGAGGAUGAACGGCCACACUGGAACUGAGACACGGUCCAGACUCCUACGGGAGGCAGCAUG